ACGACCGUAAACGCAGAUAAUAUUAUUAUAAACAGUACACAUUAUAUUGUGAUGUAGGUGCUCACCUGCUGCAGCGGCACAAAGUAUACAAACCGAAUCCGGAAUCGCGUGUGUUAAUAAGAACCGUCACGACCCGUCCGUCGGAGGAAAACGGUAAUUUCUUCUAACGAACGAAUCCGGUGUAUUAAAAAUGUAUUCCAAGAAUACUGUAGUACCAGCUACUAUAUGCUGUUUACUAUACAAUAUAUAAUACUAGAAUUUUUAGUCGGGAAAUGUUUAUAUUCAAGGCAUAUUACACAUUUUUAUUAACCCUUCUACUGUAUGUCUAUGUAUACGUAUGUGCGCAAUACGUUCCAAAGAUUUUCACUAAGAGACAGAAGAACAGACACUACUACUUCAACUGAUGCCAUAAUUAGGUAACGGCACGAAUACCCAGAGGACCAGUCAAACGUGUUUACUCACGCGAUGUUGGCUUGUACAUGGUAUUUACAACGCCAUCUAUCAACGACAAAUAGUUUCAUUCAACAUAAUAUUGUAAAUACCUAGGUACUAAAUUAUUUUACCAAUACCAUUGAUUUUAUAGUACAGGGUCCGGCAAAAAACCUCCUUUAUUUAGAAAUAGCGCUGCGUGAGUUGUGGUGGUGGUACAACAGUGGAGAGGGUAUCGAUGGAUAGUGGUAUACGUGCCAUUUUCAGUAAAUGUAAAUAUGUAAUGGCAAGGAACAAAAAAUAAACGAAAUAAAAACCAGCAAAAAAUAACGAAAAUAAAACGUGAUUUUAAAAAAAAAAAUCUAAAUUUAAAUUUUUUAACGUGAUCACCCUGUGAUUACGUUCUUUGGUGAUAUUUAAAUGAGGCACAGUGUGCGAUCAUCGCCCCACAUCCCUACAAGCACUUGAGGAACCAAUCACCAGGCAUUGGCUUCCACUACACCAGCAAUGACACGAAGAGUUAUGGAAAACUAUCGGGAAAGGUUUCGUGAAUGUAUUAACAAUGGAGGACACCACUUAACCGAUAUAAUGCUUAAAAUAAAUAAUUAAAAAUAGCAUAAUAUUUAUUAGUAAAAAACAAAAGAAUUUUUUCUAUUUCUUUGUUUGUUUACUUGCAACUACCUCUUGAAAAAAUGGAAAGUUUUUUACCGGACCCUGUAUAUUAUAAAAUCAAUGCUAAUAGUUAAUACUCAAAGAUGGGUGUUAGGCCAUUAACUAAUUAUAAAGUUAACUUUGUUGUAACUUUAAAACUUAACUAGUGAGUUAAUUAUCUAUUUUUUUAUUAAUAACUCGCCUAGUUUAAAGUUCAACGAAAUUGA